rnacentral:rRNA from 1 species
UACGAAGGGGGCUAGCGUUGUUCGGAUUUACUGGGCGUAAAGCGCACGUAGGCGGGUUGUUAAGUCAGGGGUGAAGUCCUGGAGCUCAACUCCAGAACUGCCUUUGAUACUGGCAACCUAGAGGCUGGAAGAGGUUAGUGGAAUUCCCAGUGUAGAGGUGAAAUUCGUAGAUAUUGGGAAGAACACCAGUGGCGAAGGCGGCUAACUGGUCCAGAUCUGACGCUGAGGUGCGAAAGCGUGGGGAGCAAACAGG